UGCCAAUCAAAAUUCAGUUCGAAUAAAAACUUGGAUAUUCACGCGCUUGUAAAUUAAUCCACCGACCCUUUAUGCAACUUCAUAUACUUUCAUUCAUCCAUUUUGACCUAGGUAAAUAUAAGAUUUUUGAUUAGUCCCAAAUCCGAUGAUCGGUUGUCGGUAACCGGAAAUCGAAAGUCGGCAAUUAGAACUCGGCAAUAUGAUCCUUAAAAUCAGUAGUAAAGAUUGCGCCAACAAACCCUAUAAAUGUAAUUCAAACAAUGACUUAAUGAAUUAGCCGCAAACGAUAUCGGUCUGUUUCAUGAAUUGAGCAUUGAUGCUAAUUUAUCGGACCGAAUCUAUUAUCAAGGAUAUACAUUUCUGGAUACAAAUUAACUAUCGGACUAGACGAAAACUUUGCACGUGGACGUACAUGUACGAGAUGUAUUCAUCAUAAUAUGUCAGAGGAUUGCGUGGCCAACAACUCUUGAAUAUUUGCUGUUUUCGUCAUAAUUGGUAAGUUUUUCAUUAAGUUGUCUAGUUGCAUGCUUUUCACCUGUCUGGGAUUUUGUAUUAGUGAUAUUAUUAAAUUGAUUUUUAAAAAGUAUGUUGUUUACUUAUGUGAAUUCUCCCUUUAACUAUCAAAUUCUUGUCUGCAACAUAACUUAGGCAAGCAGACUGCAGUUUCUUUAUAUAAACAAGGUUACUGGUAAAUUGAUCUGUUAAUUUUAAGAUGUCCCCUUCUGAUUUUCCGUUCGUGUUAAGAAAAGAUUUCUUUAGGCUCCCCCUGACUGUACAUAGCUUCUUUCUCAGUAUUUCUCAGAUGGACAUGGAUAAUAGAAAGAAAUGCUUAAGCGUUUUUUUGCUAUUGAAAAAAUAUUUGCAACUAGGACAACACCUUGCUUAAAACUUUUUUGUAGAUGAAGAAUAAAUGAGUGGUCAAAUAAUUUUUUUGAAUGAACAAUAUAAUGUUCAAAUAAGUUUAGAAAUGAAUGAAGAUACAAGAAGUCAUUGCUUUUGUCUUUUUUACUGCAAUGACCACACUUGCACCUCUUUAACUUUUUGCAAUUUUAGAGAUUGAUUCCCUUAGGAUACCCUUAAGAUCUUUUAAGAAAUUCUGGAUUAUUUUCUUAGUGGAUUUCAUAUAUUGAAACAGCUCUUUGGUGAUAGUCAAAUUCAUUGCCAUAUCAAGGGUCAAAUUGAAAACAACCUCUUUAUUUUUAUAAGGGUAAGGUUGCGUACAUCUUAACUCCAGAAUCCCCUAAGGUGAAUGCUUAGCUGAGAGCCAUGUAAUGACUUGAGGUAAUGAAAUGUUGUUGCAUAACUUUUCCCGUGACAAUACGUAGUAAUGCAUGUAUCAAGGGGCCUUAGAGAUCCUUUAAGCAUAAUACCGACCCAUAUUUCAGCUUAAACAUAUGACUAUGAAUUGUUGGUUGAGGGGUAGUAGGAUUAAUAUCUUAAAAUGGUUGUACAGAUCUUGAGGGGCAGUUAUUUGGUGGCAUAUGGAUGAGGAUGUAGACUGAUUGAGAAGAUCUUUUUUUUUGUUUUUGAGAUAUCAGCUAGUCUGUUUACUUUUGGUGGAGAUCAAGUAUGUAGUUCUGUCUUAUUUUGUUCUUUGUAUGUUUUUUUGUAAACACACAUUGAAAUUGGAACCGGUUGCAUUAGUGUAGUAAAAGAAUAAUACGAAGCCUGGGAAUUUCAGUUAAUCACUUAAUCUCAUUUGCAUUGUACCUUUUCAAUUUACACAUUUAGGCAUUUACCAAAAUGAUCUAGUAACUAAGGAUGUUGAGAAUAGUUCUGGUUUUAACCAGACGCCUGUAUAGGUUGUCUAAUGCCUCAUCAAGAUUCUGAUUACUGAACUCUAUGUUCACUAUCUGACUCCUAAGUCAUCUAUCAGCAUCAUGCUGAUGGUGUCUUUUUUUUUUUUUUUCUGCAAUAAAGAGAGCUCAAUUUUGAGUUAAGAUCCUCAAAUUUGCUGAUGGACGCUGCCUCUUAUCACCUUUCCGACAGACUAGUUUAUUCACCAGUGCCCAACUGCUCUUCUUGAUUGUGUGUUUGACUCAUUUAUUUGGAUCAACUGAUGGACUAGUUUAUUCACCGGUGACCAACUGCUCUUCUUUGAUUGUGUGUUUGACCUAUCUAUUUGGAUCAUCUGAUGGACUAGUUUAUUCACCAGUGACUAACUGCUCUUCUUUGAUUUUGUGUUUGACCCUUCUAUUUGGAUCAUCAACGAUUUGAAGAUGCCAACUGUUAUCUUCCAUAUUCCUCAACUUUUUGACAGUUGUGCUUUCUUUGUUAUUUCGGUUGGUUUCUUGAUUGAUGUCAAGCAAUGCUUGAUUGACUUUUUAACUUCCCUUCUGGUGUUCAGCAAUGCAUCUCUAGAGACGCCACAGAUGUCCAAUAACCUAAGAGAUUCAUGUAACACAUCUUACAGGAAUUUAGCUUGGCAAACAUGGGCGAGAUCUUGCUCACUCUUGGGUAAAAAAGAAACUCAUUUAAGCAAGCAGACAUAACCGCAAGGAUGCUUUGUUUGUUAUCUAGUGAUAAUAAUGAAGAAGUUGAGGCGCUUUGGAAAGACCUCAAUCUGCACAGAUGCUCUUCAAGCUGAUCGGCAGUGGGAUGAGAUUAGAUGGCAAGCUGACAGGACGAGCAUGAUGAGGGGUUUUGGAGAUUCGGAAAGUUGCUUCCAUUUUAAAUGUUUUGAAGAAAAAAAAAAGUAGGAAAACAGAGAAUCUUUUUCACUUCGGACUUGACAUUGAAAUGAUAUUAAGCAUUUUCAUCGGCUAUGUUUCUGGUAUGUCCUCUUCUACUCAACAUCCCAGUUAAUUAUUACACAUUAUCUUCUAAGAAAUUCAAUAUUGUAUUCGAAUCUUAAAUGUGAUUUGUUUAAUCAAAUUUACACCAUAUUCCUAAUUAUGUGCUAAUGUGCUAUGCACGAAUGGUAAAGGCAUAUUAUCUCCUGUUUGUAAUGACCUUGGGGGACCAUAUGUUACCAGCUUAUCUGUAAGAAUAUCUUGGAAGAUGGAACUAAUUAAAAAGAUUUGUUCAAAUUUUUUGUAUAGCU